UACGAAGGGGGCUAGCGUUGUUCGGAUUCAUUGGGCGUAAAGGGUGCGUAGGCGGCGCGGUAAGUCGGGUGUGAAAUCUCGGAGCUUAACUCCGAAACUGCAUUCGAUACUGCCGUGCUUGAGGACUGGAGAGGAGACUGGAAUUCAUGGAUGUAGCAGUGAAAUGCGUAGAGAUCAAUGGAGGAAGACCAGUGGCGAAAGGCGGGUCUCUGGACAGUUCCU
rnacentral:rRNA from 1 species